UAGGGAAUCUUCGGCAAUGGGGGGAACCCUGACCGAGCAACGCCGCGUGAGUGAAGAAGGUUUUCGGAUCGUAAAGCUCUGUUGUUAAGGAAGAACGAGUGUGAGAAUGGAAAGUUCAUACUGUGACGGUACUUAACCAGAAAGGGACGGCUAACUACGUGCCAGCAGCCGCGGUAAUACGUAGGUCCCGAGCGUUGUCCGGAUUUAUUGGGAGUAAAGCGAGCGCAGGCGGUUAGAUAAGUCUGAAGUUAAAGGCAGUGGCUCAACCAUUGUAGGCUUUGGAAACUGUUUAGCUUGAGUGCAGAAGAGGAGAGUGGAAUUCCAUGUGUAGCGGUGAAAUGCGUAGAUAUAUGGAGGAACACCGGUGGCGAAAGCGGCUCUCUGGUCUGUAACUGACGCUGAGGCUCGAAAGCGUGGGGAGCGAACAGG
rnacentral:rRNA from 1 species